UGUUAACAUACCUGUUAAGUAAUAUUAGUGGCCAUUUGUAAAGGUCAAGGCAAGCUCUAGCUGGUUUUCAGAUUCCAAUCUAUGUCAUUUCCUUCUCUGUCCAUAAUCAGAACUCUAGAAAUGGCUCCUGGAUUCAAGAGGAACUCAGCCUGAAUUUCUGUUUGAGUGCCCAUUAGAUUGAGGAUUUUGUUAAUGACCAUGUUACCAGUGGGUUAAGGCUGACCUGAAGAUUCCUAGAAAAAUGCCCAUCUUUAAAUUAUGUUUGAAUGUAUGUAAGGACCAGCCUCCAAGCUGAUCCUGAAGUAUGGACAGGUCUAUACAGCUACUUGGAAUCCAGUGGGAAAGUCUGCAGGGCAUAGGGAAGUGAGGAAACGGGAACCUGACAGUUCCUGACAAAUACCUAAGCAAGCUGAGAAUAAGAGACAUGACUUGCCACAUUCAAGAAGCUGAAAGUGAAGUAACACACAUUUACCUGAUUCCAGAGCCUGUGUUGUUUUGCUGUGGCCCAUUGCCCCACAAGCCUCCAGUGACACCCAGACCUAGAACUAGAGGCCUGGGAAAGUACCAGAUUAGAGUUUAGGGCUACAAGAUGAUAAAUGAUGGACUUAGUCCAGAGUGUGCAUUUUAAUGGGGUAACGCCUAAAGGAUGAAUUCGGUACUGUGAUACUUAGGGUAUUUGCUUAUUUAUUUAUUUUGUUCUUACUCUUAUGUGGCAUAAUUGCAUUUAUGAGAUAAGACAUUAAAAACUAUUCUAUCCUCAGAAUGGUUUGUGUCAUCUGCUCUUUGAGAGUUAAUUUUUUGUUCAUGUGUUUGUUUAACUACAUGGAAUUUGAAGAUAAAUGUCAAUGGUCAGAUUUUCUUUUUUUUUUUGGCAGCCUUACUUUGUCACCCAGGCUGGAGUGCAGUGGCACGAUCUCAGCUCACUGCAGCCUCCGCCUCCCGGGUUCAAGUGAUUCUCCUGCCUCAGCUUCCCAAGUAGCUGGGAUUACAGGCGCCCGCCACCAUGCGUAGCUAAUUUUCUUGUAUUUUUAGUAGACACAGGGUUUCACCAUGUUGGUUAGGCUGGUGUCAAACUCCUGACCUCAAGUGAUUUGCCCACCUUGGCCUUCCAAAGGGUUGGCAUUACAGGUGCGAGCCACUGUGGCCAAGGUCAUAUUUUUUUUCCACAAGUAUGUAAUAGAGAUUUAGGAAAGCCAUAGUUGGCUAUAUUCAAGGAAAUUAAAUUGUUUUUAAAUAAAAAUCCAUGAAACUACAAUAUACAAAAGUUAGUAAGCAUCAUAAACAUGAAGUAAACUAGAAGUAUGUACUAGAGAGCAUUAUUCCUUAUUAAGUGUUAAGAAAAGUUUUAUUAAUAACAUUAAUUCUCUAGAUAAUCACUUUUUAUAUCCUUUCAAGAUGUCUCUAUCUUGAAACAUUUAUCUGCCACAUUAUAAAAAUAGAUAUUAUUUUAUUCAUUUAUAGAAUACUCACUGUGUUUAAGGCACUAUUCUGGACAUCGAGCUGCAAUAGUGAACAUAAUCAAGUUUCUGCUCUCAUUAAGCUUUGCUUCUAGUGAAGACACAAAUAACAAAUAACUAAACAAAUGAGUAAUCUAAUAUUUCUAUAUGUAUUAGUUAGAGCUAAGUACCCCCUGCUCCUCCAAGCUUCCAAGCCUCCAAGCCUCCCUCCUCCAAAAUGACUAAAAUCAUGUAUUUUUCUUUCCAUAGUCUUAAGGUGCCUGGUAGUGAGUAGCUCAAUCCCUGUGCACAUUAGAAAGAAUUAGGAUUCCUUCCAGGUAUCUGCUGCACCAUCUCCUAUGGCAUUGUUGGCUGAUUAAGCUAGGUCACCAUUACAUACAGGUGACAGCUGCCAGGAGGAUCUUAAGCUACCAGCGGCUUCCCCGCAGCACAUUGUAUUGGAGGGAACUUAGAAAUGAAAGGAUGCCAAUGAACGUGUGGCUAGGUGACCAUGUGGUCAGCUUCAAUUCCAUUACUUUGGAAGGAGAAGAGAGAGGAUUUUAAUGGCUAUCUAGUAGUCUCUGCAUAAUUUUGUACAGUUGUUUAACAACAUAGGAGAUGAUUAUGGAGAUUAUUAUGGUAAAUUGUCAUAAAAAUUUCUCUACAAGCGUUGAUUAACCAUUCUACUGGAGCAUACAGUUUGUUUCCAUUGUUUUAUUACUAUGGACAAGUUAAAAUAUUAGUGGUUCAUGAUUACAUUUUUUAUUAUCUCCUUAAGGUAUAUUUAUAGAAAUAAACUUACUAGUAAUAUUUGGACAACUUUACUUGUUGUUAAUCAUUUUCCAAAAGUAUUAUAUACAUUUUCAUUUACCUAUAGAAUUUUUUUCACACUCUUGCUAGAAAUGAACAUGGAUCUUGUUACUUAUUAAUAUGAGAGACAAAACCACUAUCUUGUUUCAUUAAAUAUUUCUUUGAUUACUAUUUGUCUGAUUUUUUCUCCAGUAUUUUUUAGGUAAUUACAUUUCUUUCAUGUACCUGUUGGGAUACUUCAAUUACAUUGUAUAAAUUGUUAUAGAUUAAGUAUUAAUCCUUUGUUAUAUUUGUUACCAGUGUGUGUUUUUCUUAAGUACUUUUAAAUAUUGUACUUUUAAAUGUUAUAUGGAAAAUAUACUUUUAAAAUAUACAAUUAUGUUCUAGUAAUAACACUUAUUAAAACUUCCA
rnacentral:lncRNA from 10 species